GUGACGUGACGGGGCAAGAUGCCAGCUGUCCCCAGCCAGCUCUCAGGACCUGACCGCAGCGCUGCGAGAGGGCUGUACGGAGUGGCUUUGGGACACUGGGCGCCGCGCAAGAACGUGGGAAUUCACUCGGACAUAACGUCUUCUUCCCGGAGAGAAGCUGCAAAGCCAUGCAGGCCGGGGUGGUUUCCUGGCAACGCUGUGAUUUUUGUCUCUUCAGGAAAAGGGGGUCGGAGGCCCUGAUUGCCCUCCGGCCACAGAUUGAUCUGAACUGAGUCCCUAGGACAAGCUUUCGUUUUCAAAGGCCUCAAGUCCAGAAGACCCUUUGCAGAGAAUUUGGCAAGCGCCUCCCUGCUGCUCCGUGUGUGUGUGUGUGUGUGUGUGUGUGUGUGUGUGUGUGUGUGUGUGUAUGAUCCCCACGGGCAUUUCGGGGGUGGGGGGUAGGGCAAGGCAAAGUUAUUUUCUCUGGCAAAUGGGUCAUGCUGCUCUUUUAAAAGUGAAAGGGAGAAAGAGGCCACACCAAAUUUAGCACCGAGGCAGGGCCUGUGAUUUAUAGAGGAGCGAGGGUGUGCAGGGGCGGUUUCUAGAAGCCCGAAGGCAAAGCUUAUAUAAAACACAUACACACACAGGGGCUGGUACACACGCCUUGCAGAACACUGAGAGCAGAAGAAUCCAUGCUCACAGUGGAGAGAGCUAAGAGCAUCUUUUACGCUGGGUGGACUUCGGUGCCCAAUCUUUCAAAUAGGUGCGGCCCAGGGAGUCCACUGUGCACAAACCCUGGCCAACUCGGAAGAAAUGAAAGACAAGCAUUUCAAGGGCAGGCCUAGGCUCCUUGUGGCGUUUCCUAAACUGCCCAGAAAAGAAGUGGCUUCCGCAGACAACAUGUCCGUCAUCUUUUCCUCACCAGCCUCUGUUCCCUGCGUAGCUGCCUUUAGAUCUGCGGCUCGCCGUGCCAGUGGAUAGUCAUACUCCCUCACGCGUGCAGGGGGAAUAUGCAACCAGGCCGCUCCCCUUCCUCCUUCCUCAGUGUCCCCUGGAAGGCGUGUCCUUCAUUCUCAUUCUCAUAAGAGGGUGGCAGGAGCUUCAACUACCACGUGUGAGGUUCGGAAUGAGGCACGCAGCGGGUAGGGGGCACGUGCCCGCUAAGCCAGCUUUUCUGGAAGGUCACAUCCGGAGUUCUGCUGACAUCUUCUGGGCCAGAAACCCCCCACAUCAGCACCAGCCCCUCCCCCGGUCCCCCCAGCUGCAAGGGAGACUGGAGAACAUCACUGACAUUUUUUUAAACCUGGACACAUUGUGGUCCCCAUUGGGAUGUUGUUAGAAAGAAUCAAGAAUGAGAUAUUUGAUGACCUGGAGAUUUAAACGAUCCACCCGCCUUUCGGUCAUGGGGAUUAGGUGUGUGUGUGCCAAGCACCUCCCAGAGCUUGCUGAGCUGGAGGUCCACCAGCUCCCUCCCUGUGCUCCCUCUUUCCUCCCUGUGCUCCCGCCUCCCUCCCUGUGUUCCCACCUCCCUCCCUGUGCUCCCUCGCUUGCUCGCUCAGUGGGGACCUGUACAAGGUGGGGUCGUGCCCUGAUGUCCCAGCUGGUGGCCCCCCUAAGUUCACUGAGUGAUUUCAUCUUUAGGGAGAAAGGAAGAAAACACAUUUGACCUCCUUCUCAUCCUUGACUCAGCAUCUGAAGCUAGAAAUGCCUUUUUUUUUUAAGCUUCUGUGAGCAUCACUGUAUUUGGGGAGUUUUCUUAGGCGAUGAAGCACAACCAACGAUUUACAAGUCAGUAGUACUAGUAUAAAUCAUGACAAUGCAGAGAAAUGCCAUUUUGCAGGGAGCCUUCUUGCAAUGCUGACAGAAGCACCUAAUUGUAAUGCACCAGCUGGUCCAACCCCAGAGAGAUGGUUGGUAAUUGCAGGCUUUCUCAUCCUACGUGACAACAGUGCCACUGUGGGUGCUGCACCAAGGCGGACACAGCGGCAGGGUCUACGUCACCCGAACACAGGCAGGGGCGCACACUUUCUGCGUUUUGAGAUCUUUAUUGUUGAAUAACUCGUCAGGGUGUCAAAGCAUGUGAUACAUUUCAACAGAAAAUCAGAGAUAAAUAUUACAGGGGAAUGCCUAGCUUACAUUCUGUUCUGGGUAAGAGAAUUUGACAAGUGAGUGUACUUAUUGAGCGCUGAUGUCUCCAUUCUGAUCCUCACAAAGUGAGGUCGUGGGUCGAUGGGGUCCAGGAAGCAAAGGAAAGUGAAAGGAAA